GAUGAACGCUGACAGAAUGCUUAACACAUGCGAGUCGAUGGGGAAGUGGUGCUUGCACCAUGGCAACCAUGGCGGACGGGUGAGUAACGCGUAAGGGACUUACCUGCAGGACUGGGAUAACAGGGGGAAACUCCUGACAAGACCGGAUAAUGUCAUGGAGCUGCAUGGCUUUAUGAUGAAAGGAGACGCCUGCGGAGAGCCUUGCGUCCUAUUAGCUAGUUGGUGAGGUAAUGGCUCACCAAGGCGAAGAUAGGUAGCCGGCCUGAGAGGGUGGACGGCCACAAGGGGACUGAGAUACGGCCCUUACUCCUACGGGAGGCAGCAGUGGGGAAUAUUGGACAAUGGGGGCAACCCUGAUCCAGCAAUUCUGUGUGCACGAAGAAGGUUUUCGGAUUGUAAAGUGCUUUCAGCAGGGAAGAAGUAAGUGACGGUACCUGCAGAAGAAGCGACGGCUAAAUACGUG
rnacentral:rRNA from 1 species